rnacentral:tRNA from 1 species
AUCUAAAUAGUUUAUAUAAAAUAUUGAUUUGUGGAAUCAAAGAUAUAAAAAAUUUAUUUUAGAUA